CUGAGACUGGGGAGUCGAGAGGCUGCUGACAAGGCAGGGUAUUAAUGGGACCCCACGUGGCUAAUGAUAUCUUGAACACCCCCCGCAUACUCCUGUUCCGUGCCACCCCCUCCUGACCACCCUCGAUGGAAACGGAACCCGUUUCAAAUUCAGAUGUUUACCGCGAUGGCGCAUCACCACUCCCUCGCCGUCCCGCUGUCUCUCUCCGGUGCCGAGGUCACGCCCCAUGAAGUCCAUUUCUCUCAUUCCGGCUCCUUCGGGGGCACCGGGUGCGAGCGGGCCGACAGCUUGUUUACGACCGGGAGCCGUCCUCAUUCAAUGAAAAACAUGCACGUCGUAAACAGGCACACAAUACGAGAACGCUGAUGAACGGAGAUUAUAAUAAACCUCACA